rnacentral:rRNA from 1 species
GAAGCGGGAACAGCAUAAAUUUUAAAUCUCCAAGGUCCCCAUUGGCGAAUUGUAGUUUAAAGAAGUGUUUUCGGCGACGGUCAUUGGUCAAGUCCCUUGGAACAGGGUGACAUAGAGGGUGAGAACCCCGUGAAACCUUGACUUGUUGCUAUGUGAUCACUUUCAAAGAGUCGGGUUGUUUGGGAUUGCAGCCCAAAAGGGAGGUAAUUUCUUCUAAAGCUAAUAUUGGCGACACACCGAUGCGAACAAGUACCGUGAGGGAAAGAUGAAAAGAACUUUGAAAAGAGAGUUAAACAGUACGUGAAAUUGUCAAAAGGGAAAGGCUUGAAACCAGUCAUGCUAUCUGGUAUUCAGCGGGNCACUCUGACCUGCGCAUUUACCAGACGGGCAGGUCAACGGUCAGUUUUCCUUCGCAGUGAAAAAGCCCCAGGUCAACGUCAGUUUCCUUCGCAGUGAAAAAGCCUUUUGAAGGGUAGCUUCCACCUCCGGUGGAGUGUUAUAGCUUUUUGGUUAUGCUGUGUGGGGAGACUGAGGCUGCAGGGCGAAUUUGGACUAGCCGAGUAAGUGUACGCUUUUCAGCUGACUGCAUGCAGACUGUUGGAAAGUUUAAGCUUUUCUUGGAAUGUCUCUCCGUCCCUUAGGACGUUGACGAAAUGGUUUUAAACCACCCGUCUUGAACACGGACCAAGGAGUCUAACAUAUAUGCGAGUAUUUGGGUGGCAAUCCCCAUGCGAAUGAAAGUAUACAGGUGGAUCUCGGUGCACCAUCGACCGGUCUGGAUAUUUUAAUUGAAAGAUCUGAGUAAGAGCAUAUCUGUUGGGACCUCAAGAUGGUGAACUAUGCCUGAAUAGGGCGAAGCCAGAGGAAA